GUUUGUUUUUUUGAGAUGAGGUCUUGCUCUGUCUCCCAGGCUGGCGUGCAGUGGCAUGAUCUUGGCUCACUGUAACCUCCACCUACCAGGCUCCGGAAAUCCUCCCACCUCAGCCUAGCAAGGUCUUAACGCUCUUCAAUUCUGUGAAGGCUGAGAGAGGUAAGGAAACCACAGGAGAAAAGUUUGAAGUUAGCUGUUCAUGAUGCUUAAGAAAAGAAGCCAUUUCCAUAACAUAAAAGCACAAGGUGAAGCAGCAAAUGCUAAUGUAGAGGCUUCAGCAAGUUCUCCGGAAGAUCUAGCUGAGCUGCUUGAUGAAGGCGGCUUUGUUUAGCUCACUGGGCAUCUUUAAGAAGGUUACCUUGAAUGAUCAGUUAAUUCAUCUAACAGAGCAGAAUCCCCAGGCAGCACAUGGCUCUGGGCACUGGGGAAAAG
rnacentral:lncRNA from 10 species